AGACCCGAAACCCGGUGAUCUAGCCAUGGGCAGGUUGAAGGUUGGGUAACACUAACUGGAGGACCGAACCGACUAAUGUUGAAAAAUUAGCGGAUGACCUGUGGCUGGGGGUGAAAGGCCAAUCAAACCGGGAGAUAGCUGGUUCUCCCCGAAAGCUAUUUAGGUAGCGCCUCGUGAAUUCAUCUCCGGGGGUAGAGCACUGUUUCGGCUAGGGGGCCAUCCCGGCUUACCAACCCGAUGCAAACUGCGAAUACCGGAGAAUGUUAUCACGGGAGACACACGGCGGGUGCUAACGUCCGUCGUGAAGAGGGAAACAACCCAGACCGCCAGCUAAGGUCCCAAAGUCAUGGUUAAGUGGGAAACGAUGUGGGAAGGCCCAGACAGCCAGGAUGUUGGCUUAGAAGCAGCCAUCAUUUAAAGAAAGCGUAAUAGCUCACUGGUCGAGUCGGCCUGCGCGGAAGAUGUAACGGGGCUAAACCAUGCACCGAAGCUGCGGCAGCGAACGUAUCACCCAAGACAACUUUACGGAGUUGACGAUUGACGGAGCGAAGCGACGUCAAAGCGUUCAUUAAAGUCGAGUUGGCUUAGGGAUACGUUCGUUGGGUAGGGGAGCGUUCUGUAAGCCGUUGAAGGUGGCCUGUGAGGGUUACUGGAGGUAUCAGAAGUG
rnacentral:rRNA from 1 species